rnacentral:rRNA from 1 species
GAUGAACGCUAGCGGCAGGCUUAAUACAUGCAAGUCGAGGGGUAACAGGGGUAGCAAUACCUGCUGACGACCGGCAAACGGGUGCGGAACACGUACGCAACCUCCCCAUAACAGGUGAAUAGCCUUCCGAAAGGGAGAUUAAUACACCGUAACAUAACGAUGAGGCAUCUCAUUGUUAUUAUAGGCUUCGGCCGGUUUUGGAUGGGCGUGCGGCUGAUUAGGUAGUUGGCGGGGUAACGGCCCACCAAGCCUGCGAUCAGUAACUGGUGUGAGAGCACGACCAGUCACACGGGCACUGAGACACGGGCCCGACUCCUACGGGAGGCAGCAGUAAGGAAUAUUGGUCAAUGGACGAAAGUCUGAACCAGCCAUGCCGCGUGAAGGAUGAAGGCCCUCUGGGUUGUAAACUUCUUUUAUCUGGGACGAAAAAAGGGUAUUCUUACUCACUUGACGGUACCAGAGGAAUAAGCACCGGCUAACUCCGUGCCAGCAGCCGCGGUAAUACGGAGGGUGCAAGCGUUAUCCGGAUUCACUGGGUUUAAAGGGAGCGUAGGUGGGCUGAUAAGUCAGUGGUGAAAUCUCCGGGCUUAACCCGGAAACUGCCAUUGAUACUAUUAGUCUUGAAUUAUCUGGAGGUAAGCGGAAUAUGUCAUGUAGCGGUGAAAUGCUUAGAUAUGACAUAGAACACCAAUUGCGAAGGCAGCUUGCUACGGAUUGAUUGGCACUGAGGCUCGAAAGCGUGGGGAUCAAACAGGAUUAGAUACCCUGGUAGUCCACGCCCUAAACGAUGGAUACUCGACAUCAGCGAUACACUGUUGGUGUCUGAGCGAAAGCAUUAAGUAUCCCACCUGGGGAGUACGACCGCAAGGUUG